GAUCUGUUUCUUUUUCAUUUGCAGUGGGCCCAGCCCUUGUUAACUAAUUGCAGAAUUGUGUUGAUCGCCAGCAUUUAUGGGGCAUUUUCGUAAAUGCUAGUUGAUUUUAGUGACCCAAUUUUUUAGGCUGAAAUCAGAAUGACCUUAAACUUGGUUUUUCUAUUCUUUUUAAGGAGACCUUGACGAUUCCCUCGUCUGGGUUCUUGGAGCACCAGAAAAGCCCCCUGUAUCACCCCACGUCUGGUUUUCUGAUAAAUGGCUGGUUUUCAUCUUUCUCUGCUUGAAGACAGAGACUUUUUAUUUAUCCUGAGCUCUUGGAGAGCAAGAAACCUUUGAGAAGUAUUUGUUUAAUUGAAUAGAAUUGAAUCUAGCCAACGGGAAGCUGUGGUUUCCUGUUUGCCCAGUAGAAUUCUGAUGGGCACCUUCCUUCAACGAAGGCAGCUCAAGAUGCACAUACUGAGAUUUUUUCCUCAUCCCAAACUCAGAUGCACAUGCAGCUGGGAGACUGAGAGCUAAGAAGGAGGAAUUAUUUGCCCAUGACACUACAGCUGAACCUCCUGUCUAUCCGAAGUUAAAGAUGAAACUUUUGGCCGUUAAGUUGUCUUCUCUCUUCACGGGGGGAAACAACUCAACAACCAUCGUGCUUUUCUUCUGGAAGCUGCUGUCCAUUUUAUGGGAUGUAAUGUGAUUUGGCAGUUGACAGAUUCAAUGCAAAAUUAUUUCUACUUGGCAGAGUGGAUCAAAACAUGGAUUAUUUUAAAUAAAGAACCUUAGCACAAUUUUUUAAAAAAUGAA
rnacentral:lncRNA from 1 species